rnacentral:rRNA from 1 species
AGCGAACGCUGGCGGCAGGCUUAACACAUGCAAGUCGAACGGGCAUAGCAAUAUGUCAGUGGCAGACGGGUGAGUAACGCGUGGGAACGUACCUUUUGGUUCGGAACAACACAGGGAAACUUGUGCUAAUACCGGAUAAGCCCUUACGGGGAAAGAUUUAUCGCCGAAAGAUCGGCCCGCGUCUGAUUAGCUAGUUGGUAGGGUAAUGGCCUACCAAGGCGACGAUCAGUAGCUGGUCUGAGAGGAUGAUCAGCCACAUUGGGACUGAGACACGGCCCAAACUCCUACGGGAGGCAGCAGUGGGGAAUAUUGGACAAUGGGCGAAAGCCUGAUCCAGCCAUGCCGCGUGAGUGAUGAAGGCCCUAGGGUUGUAAAGCUCUUUUGUGCGGGAAGAUAAUGACGGUACCGCAAGAAUAAGCCCCGGCGAACUUCGU